CCGCGUACUUCCUCCAUAGUGACACUAAGAACAUGGUGCCUGGAGAUCAGGAUUCCGCUGGAUUUCCCUAAGUUCCCAAGAUGAGGUCCAUGGCAUAGGCAAAAGAGGUCUGCCACCAGGAGACGGUGCAGGGGAAGGGAAGGCAAUAAGGAAAUGACCACCCAGCUCUCCGGCACAAGAGCAGGAUUGAAGCCUUCCCUUGAGCUCAUGAGGCUGGUCAGCUCAUUCACCUGGCAGUAAAACAUGCCUGCCUGUCAAGUUCAUGGUUGGCUGCAUCCAUGGAAGCAAAGCCUUCAAAUAUGGAGGACCAACGGUUCACUGAUGUACUUGAAUGAAGAAUGUAUUUUGGUUUGGUACCUUUGACACUAAUUUUCUGGAGGCCUUACCCAGAAACUUAAUUAGAAAUAGGGUUCAUGAUUCAUGAAACAUGAAUAUUCCUUAUUCAAAAAAGAGACCUAAGCAGGUCACACUCACUUCCAAAGAAAGCCAGCUCAUUAUCAUUCUCUCUCUCCAUACCCAAUACUUGUGUAAUGCAUUCUAGUUUUCAAAGUGAUUUCAUAUACAUUAUCUUAUUUGAGAGGCAAUGUGGUGUAGCAGAAAGAAAAUUAGACCUGAGUCAAGGAAGCUGAAUUGUAGCAUGCUCUCUCCACGAGAUGCCUGUGACCUUGGCGAAGGUACUUAACCUAUGGAGCAGAAGCUUCAUGUGUAGCAUGCCGAUGCCAGACUAGAUAAUCUCCAGGGCCCCUUCCAAUCUAAAACUCUGUAAUUUUACAAUGUAUCUGGCAUAAAAGACUGUGUGUCCAUCCGCACGCAUCUGUGAAUGUGUGUGCGUCUUCUUGAGUGUGAAUUCUUUCAAAUAAAAAGUGUUA